rnacentral:rRNA from 1 species
UACAGAGGGUGCGAGCGUUAAUCGGAGUUACUGGGCGUAAAGGGCGCGUAGGCGGUUGUGUGAGUGUGAUGUGAAAGCCCCGGGCUUAACCUGGGAAGUGCAUCGCAAACGACAUAACUGGAGUAUAAGAGAGGGUGGCGGAAUUUCCGGUGUAGCGGUGAAAUGCGUAGAGAUCGGAAGGAACGUCAAUGGCGAAGGCAGCCACCUGGCUUAAUACUGACGCUGAGGCGCGAAAGCGUGGGGAGCGAACAGG